CAAGCUUUUGCUCCAAUUACUAUGAUUAUUGAGAGACUUGAAGCUAUUUCAACUUUACUUUUAAAUGAAAAGCAUACAAUGACAUUGUGACGUAAUGAACUUUUAUAAAACCGUAAAUAAAAAGUAUUGUUUAGUUCACCCCUUGACUUAGUUAUUCGUUAUAUUUUUAUACUCUUGAUCUGAUUUUAUUAUUGCUCAGCUUCGAGAAUUGAAUGACAAGAUGAACGAUGAAUAAAUGGAAGUAAAUUCACCAAGGAGAACAUCAUAGGCCACACCUCAUUAUUUAGAAGUCUCUCCUGAAAUGAUCAACCAACCUUCGCCACCCACCAGAUGAACGAAGAGUAACUUCAUCAACCGACAUACAGCCAUCUGAAGUCGCUAAUUCCUCUGAUCAACAAAUGAUUAGCUCUAUUUCUGUCCAAGAACUGUUUGACAGCGUCGGAACCACGAAUAGGCUGUCAACAGCUGAAGAGUUCUUUCUUGAAACCAAUAAAGCAGAAGCAGUGGAAGGAGGUCCUCCCAAUAUGCAAGGUGAAAGUUUUUCUGUUCCUGCAACAGAAGCAGAAAAUCAGACGCACCGCCGAAUCCUGCAAUUCGUCUACUUCUCGAAUCUCCACUUGUGCUUCCUCCAAAGGAUAAGGUGGGAUAAAGGGAGAUGGUUACAAGUGCAUUGGAAGAAGAAUCGGUCCAAAUACUACUUAGAAAUGCAAUGGUGAAAGAUGCAUCUGACGGCCAAAUGGAAUCUUCUCAAGCAGUCGCCAAGGAAAUCAUCAAGCGAGACAUUGAUUCUAAAAAACAAUCUAAUGUGGAUGACUUCCCAUUGGUAUCAAAAUCGACCAAAAAUCUUCAUUGUGAUUCGUCUUCAACUGAAUCUGAUGUCCAAGAAAAGGAGAGAAUAGAUUUAAGAGAUAGGACCACAGAGGAUACUAAUUUAGGAAGCGAUUCAUCUUCAAAGAUAGAUGCUUCGAGAAAGAAAGUAGCUUAGGAGCUAGUACUACCGAAAAUGUUGGUUUAAAAGGUGAAUCGUCUCCAAUAAAAACUGGAACUAUCGUGCAAGUUUUUGGAAGAGGUGACACAGAGACUGUUAUGUUAAAAACAGAGAUGUCUCCUACUAAAAGAGCUUCUGCUACUGCGGAACAAAGCACUUCUGCAUCUGGCACCGUUUUGAUGUCGCCAAAACUUAAAAGUCCCACAAAAGUGCAGUAUUUGUUACCAAAAAGAGAGUGCUCCAUUUCCUUCACUUGAUAAGCUUCAAAGGCAGAGUGAUCGCACAUGUCUACACUUAUAGAAGAGCUAGAUAAUAUGCAAGGAAGAUCCCAGCCUAAAUCCGGGCAUGAACAAGCAAUAAAUAGGGAGGUCAUAGAACCCGAUGAGUCUCAAAAGGAAGAAAUAGAACAAAGAAAUACUGAAAUUGAUGAUUUUGAAAAAGAACAAGGAGAAACUACAGAAACACUUUCAAAAAAGACAUUCUUGAAUGGAAGAAUUUGAGUGAAUAUAACGACUUUUAAGUUCUUUUAAACGUUUAAUGUUCAUUUAUUAGAACAGUGGGCCUAAGCUGUGAUAAGUCCAAUGUGUUUAAAAAUAUUUUACGUUCUUAAGUCGGCAAUAAUUAAAUAUUGAUUAGUUUU